rnacentral:rRNA from 1 species
UACGGAGGGUGCGAGCGUUGUCCGGAAUUACUGGGCGUAAAGCGUGCGCAGGCGGCUUUGCAAGACAGAUGUGAAAUCCCCGGGCUUAACCUGGGAACUGCAUUUGUGACUGCAUGGCUGGAGUGCGGCAGAGGGGGAUGGAAUUCCGCGUGUAGCAGUGAAAUGCGUAGAUAUGCGGAGGAACACCGAUGGCGAAGGCAAUCCCCUGGGCCUGCACUGACGCUCAUGCACGAAAGCGUGGGGAGCAAACAGG